rnacentral:rRNA from 1 species
GUCGAGAAUCUUCCGCAAUGCGCGAAAGCGUGACGGAGCGACACCGCGUGAUGGAUGAAGUCCUUCGGGGCGUAAACAUCUUUUAUAAAGGAGGAAAUUUUUGACGUUACUUUAUGAAUAAGGGGCUCCCAAUCUCGUGCCAGCAGGAGCGGUAAUACGAGAGCCUCAAGCGUUAUCCGGAAUCAUUGGGCGUAAAGGGUGCGUAGGUGGUUUGAUUAGUCUCCCGUUAAAACUUCGAGCUGAACUCGAAAAGAGCGGGGGAAACGGUCAAACUAGAGUAUGUGAGAGGUGUGUGGAACUCAUGGUGUAGGGGUGAAAUCCGUUGAUAUCAUGGGGAACACCAAAAGCGAAGGCAGCACACUGGCACAUCACUGACACUGAGGCACGAAACCUAAGGUAGCGAAUGGGAUUAGAUACCCUUGUAGUCC